rnacentral:lncRNA from 1 species
UUCUUCAAUAAUUAACUCAUCAUAUUUCAAUUUAAUAAACAAUAUCAAAUUAAUCACCAUUCACAGCCACAAUUCAACCAAUUUAAUAAAUAACACAAAAUUAAUCGCAAUUUCAUCACAUUCAAUAAUAUUCACUCGAGUAGUGCUAGGGAGCCAAUGGCCUAAGUGUACAAUGUGUACAAUGGGCUAAAUAUUUGGUUUAUAAAUCAAAUGAACAUCACUUAAAAAGCUAAUUUUGGGUUCACCAGGAUUCGAACUUCUGAUCUUCCGGAUCUGGAACUCUUAUACCAUGUCCUGAAACCACUCAUCCCAAAAGCGUAACCUGACAGGACAAUGUAACACUAAUAAUAAUAUCUCUAAUACUUUUUAAACCUUCAUUGUAAGGUCAUUGGCUCCCUAUACUUUCUCUAUUCACAAUCACCCACAAUAUUCACAAUUCACGACGACGGCGACGUUCUCCUCCACAAACCUUGGCAGCAGCGGCGAUGGAAAGGCAGCGCUGCUUCCUCUUCUUAGCACACAGCGGUAAGGUUCCCUUCAUUGAUGGCUUGGAUGGCGGAAACAACGCACGGCGACGGCGACGGCGACAGAAACCACCAUGACGACGUUCACGGCACGACAGCGGCGGGAACGGUCCCCCUCCCUCUCUCGUCGCGUUCUGUCUCUUCUCUCUGCACGAAGCCCACACACCACGACGAUGAAGGCGGCGCUCCUCGCGACUCCAUGGACAGCGAUGGGCUUGAAAGGUGGCGCAGGUAAGACACAGCGGUGGAGGCUCAGCAGCGACUUCGCGGGCUUCCUCUCUCUUCCCGAAUGACGGUGACAACAACGUGGAGCUUCGACAAUGAGGUGUGGCGGCGGCAGCUCUUCCCUCCAGUUUAACGACGACGCGACGGCAGCCCAAUCCCUACUGCCGAUGCGCCUCCCUCUCUCGGCCUCUUUCUCUCUGUUUCCCGUUUUGCAUAUGCUACUGGGUUUGGGGAAGGGGUUUCGGUGGCUGGCUUAAGGGUUUUAGGGUUAGGGUUUUUUAAUUUUGAAAUUAGGGUUUGUGAAUUUGAUUUGG